AUCUUGUUAAAAUGAAGAUCUGAUUCAGUAGCUCCGGGCUGGGGCCCAGGAUUCUGCAUUUUUAACAAGCUC
rnacentral:miRNA from 1 species